rnacentral:rRNA from 1 species
CAGGUAGUUGGUGAGGUAACGGCUCACCAAGCCUAUGACGGGUAGCUGAUUUGAGAGAAUGAUCAGCCAGAAUGGAACUGAGACACGGUCCAUACUCCUACGGGAGGCAGCAGUGAGGAAUCUUCCGCAAUGGGCGAAAGCCUGACGGAGCGACACCGCGUGAAGGAUGAAGUCUUUUUUAGACGUAAACUUCUGUUCUGAGGGACGAAAUUUUUGACGGUACCUCAGGAGAAAGCAUCGGCUAACCCUGUGCCAGCAGCCGCGGUAAGACAGGGGAUGCAAGCGUUACUCGGAAUUACUGGGCGUAAAGCGUCUGCAGGUUUCUUUUCAAGUCUGGUGUAAAAGCACUGGAGCUCAACUCCGUGUAUGUGCCGGAAACUAAAGAGAUAGAGUCAUUCAGAGGCAUCUGGAAUGUCGUGUGUAGGGGUAAAAUCCGUAGAUCCACGAUGGAACGCCAAAAGCGAAGGGAGGAUGCUGGGGAUGUACUGACACUCAGAGACGAAAGCGUGGGGAGCAAAGGGGAUUAGAU